rnacentral:rRNA from 1 species
UACGGAAGGCAGCAGUGGGGAAUAUUGCACAAUGGGCGAAAGCCUGAUGCAGCUAUGCCGCGUGUAUGAAGAAGGCCUUAGGGUUGUAAAGUACUUUCAUCGGGGAGGAAAAAAACAAAAACUAAUAAUUUUUAUUUUCUUUGACGUUACCCGAAAAAGAAAGCACCGGCUAACUCCGUGCCAGCAGCCGCGGUAAUACGGAGGGUGCUAGCGUUAAUCAGAAUUACUGGGCGUAAAGAGUACGUAGGUGGUUUUUUUAAGUUCAGAUGUGAAAUCCCUGGGCUUAACCUAGGAACUGCAUUUUGAAACUGAAAUACUAGAGUAUCGUAGAGGGAGGUAGAAUUCUAGGUGUAGCGGUGAAAUGCGUAGAUAUCUGGAGGAAUACCUGUGGCGAAAGCGGCCUCCUAAACGAAUACUGACACUGAGGGUGCGAAAGCGUGGGGAGCAAACAGGGAUUUAGAUA